UUUGUUUUUGCAAGUCUUGAGAACAUUUUUUACUAUGGCCAAGGUGAGUUUAAGUAUGAGAUUUUCUCAUGCUUAUUUCUUAUAAAAAUAAAGCAUGAGGGUGAAAAAUAGGAAAAAAUAAAUAUUAUAAGGGUUCAAUAGGUCGAAAAAGGUGGUCAUGGGUGUGAAUUGUGAUAGAUUUUUCUCAAUUAGUUCAGUGGAAAUUUUGUUUGUUAGGCAUUUCCAAAAAUUA
rnacentral:misc_RNA from 1 species